GUCAUCAAGGGUCACAAUGUGACGUUUGUGUGUGACGCUGACAGCAACCCGCCUCCUGCUUCCAUCACGUGGUCAGGGAAAGUAAACAGCACUACUGGGGAGCUACACAUCAUAGCAGCAGAGAAGACAACCCAUAACGGUAACUACACCUGUACCGUGGUCACUGAAACAGAUGAUGAGGAUAAACGCCUACCACUGAGGGCAUCUUUCAAGAUUACAUUUAUUGUUAAAGAUAUUUAUAUCUGUCCUCAUCCGCCUGUGUUGUACAAAAUUUCUUCAGGAUCUUGCGCAGAUGUUUCUUACUUUCUCUACAUUCUGCAUCAAACCAACCUUUUAUUUCUCUCGCCUUUUGUAUACAAUUGUAACACAGUCAAAGCCAUCAGUAAACAUUGCAAGUUUCUGUCAACAUCCUUACAGUCGGUGGCAGAAAUCCGUUAAUGGAGGAAACAAAUGCUACUUUAAAGUGUGCGAGCAAUGAGCGGUCUGGUGUAAUAAAGUACACGUGGCCAGAAAAUGCAGGCGGGUUCC